GAUUAACGCUGGCAGAAUGCCUAACACAUGCAAGUCGAACGGAUCUUGCUGAUUGAUGAUGGAGAGCUUGCUCAAAGUCUGAUUGAAGCGCUGAUUAGUGGCGAACGGGCGAGUAACGCGUAUUCAACCUACCCUCAAGUCGUGCACAACUAUAGAGAUAUAGCUAAUUCGCGAUGGUCUCAUGAGAAUGAAAAUAUCAUGAGUAAAGAUUUAUCGCUUGGGGAAGGGGAUGCGUCCUAUCAGGUAGUUGGCGGGAUAAAAGCCCACCAAGCCUAUGACGGGUAGCCGGUCUGAGAGGAUGGUCGGCCGCAAUGGAACUGAGACACGGUCCAUACCCCUACGGGGGGCAGCAGUGGGGAAUCUUGGACAAUGGACGAAAGUCUGAUCCAGCAAUUCUGCGUGCGGGAUGAAGGUCUAUGGAUUGUAAACCGCUUUUCUGAAGGAAGACGAAUGACGGUACUUCAGGAAUAAGCGACGGCUAACUUCGUG
rnacentral:rRNA from 1 species